rnacentral:lncRNA from 1 species
AACCAUCAAACCACCUCAAGCUUCGGCUACAGCUCUUACCAAGAACCCACAAGACAAAUCGCUGCGGCUUCUACCAGGAACCCACAAGCUACAGCCGACAGCUAUUGCAGAAAAAGUUCAUCUUCUGCAUUGGGUGAAAAGCUGAGCAGCAAAAUCAUCAUCUUCCUCUCUCAUAUUCAUACUACUUUGUAAGCGUUUAAACAUGAGUGCAAUAGUGACUAAUUAAUGGCGUGUGA